rnacentral:rRNA from 1 species
AACAAACGCUGGCGGCGUGCCUAAUACAUGCAAGUCGAACGAACCCUUCGGGGUUAGUGGCGGACGGGUGAGUAACACGUGGGAACGUGCCUUUAGGUUCGGAAUAACUCAGGGAAACUUGUGCUAAUACCGAAUGUGCCCUUCGGGGGAAAGAUUUCUCGCCUUUAGAGCGGCCCGCGUCUGAUUAGCUAGUUGGUGAGGUAAUGGCUCACCAAGGCUACGAUCAGUAGCUGGUCUGAGAGGAUGACCAGCCACAUUGGGACUGAGACACGGCCCAAACUCCUAUGGGAGGCAGCAGUGGGGAAUCUUGCGCAAUGGGCGAAAGCCUGACGCAGCCAUGCCGCGUGGAUGAUGAAGGUCUUAGGAUUGUAAAAUCCUUUCACCGGUGAAGAUAAUGACUGUAGCCGGAGAAGAAGCCCCGGCUAACUUCGUGCCAGCAGCCGCCGUAAUAC